rnacentral:rRNA from 1 species
AUUGAACGCUGGCGGCAUGCUUUACACAUGCAAGUCGAACGGUAACAGGCCUUCGGGUGCUGACGAGUGGCGAACGGGUGAGUAAUGCAUCGGAACGUACCCAGAGGUGGGGGAUAACGCAGCAAAAGCUGUGCUAAUACCGCAUGUGAUCUGAGGAUGAAAGCGGGGGACCGAGCAGCAAUGUUUGGCCUCGCGCCUUUGGAGCGGCCGAUGUCGGAUUAGCUAGUUGGUGGGGUAAAGGCCUACCAAGGCGACGAUCCGUAGCUGGUCUGAGAGGACGACCAGCCACACUGGGACUGAGACACGGCCCAGACUCCUACGGGAGGCAGCAGUGGGGAAUUUUGGACAAUGGGCGCAAGCCUGAUCCAGCAAUGCCGCGUGCGGGAAGAAGGCCUUCGGGUUGUAAACCGCUUUUGGCAGGAACGAAACGGUGUCCGCUAAUACCGGGCGCUAAUGACGGUACCUGCAGAAUAAGCACCGGCUAACUACGUG